UGGGGAAUAUUGCACAAUGGGCGAAAGCCUGAUGCAGCAACGCCGCGUGCGGGAUGACGGCCUUCGGGUUGUAAACCGCUUUCAGCAGGGACGAAGGGUUUCUGACGGUACCUGCAGAAGAAGCACCGGCUAACUACGUGCCAGCAGCCGCGGUGAUACGUAGGGUGCGAGCGUUGUCCGGAAUUAUUGGGCGUAAAGAGCUCGUAGGUGGUUUGUUGCGUCGGAAGUGAAAACUCAGGGCUUAACCCUGAGCCUGCUUUCGAUACGGGCAGACUAGAGGAAGGUAGUGGAGAACGGAAUUCCUGGUGGAGCGGUGGAAUGCGCAGAUAUCAGGAGGAACACCGGUGGCGAAGGCGGUUCUCUGGACCUUUCCUGACGCUGAGGAGCGAAAGCGUGGGGAGCAAACAGGCUUAGAUACCCUGGUAGUCCACGCCGUAAACGGUGGGCACUAGGUGUGGGGGGACAUUCCACGUUCUCCGUGCCGUAGCUAACGCAUUAAGUGCCCCGCCUGGGGAGUACGGCCGCAAGGCUAAAACUC
rnacentral:rRNA from 1 species